rnacentral:rRNA from 1 species
CCUACGGGGUGCAGCAGUGGGGAAUAUUGCGCAAUGGGCGAAAGCCUGACGCAGCGACGCCGCGUGAGGGAUGAAGGUCUUCGGAUCGUAAACCUCUGUCAGCAGGGAAGAACGGUCACUGUGCUAAUCAGCAGUGACUUGACGGUACCUGCAAAGGAAGCACCGGCUAACUCCGUGCCAGCAGCCGCGGUAAUACGGAGGGUGCGAGCGUUAAUCGGAAUUACUGGGCGUAAAGCGCUCGUAGGCGGUAUGUCAAGUCAAGGGUGAAAUCCCCGCGCUCAACGUGGGAACUGCCUUUGAAACUGGCAAACUGGAGUGUGUGAGAGGAUAGUGGAAUUCCAGGUGUAGGAGUGAAAUCCGUAGAUAUCUGGAGGAACAUCAGUGGCGAAGGCGACUAUCUGGCACAUAACUGACGCUGAGGAGCGAAAGCGUGGGUAGCAAACAGGAUUAGAUACCCCAGUAGUC